AGAUUGAACGCUGGCGGCAGGCCUAACACAUGCAAGUCGAGCGGUAGAGAGGUGCUUGCACCUCUUGAGAGCGGCGGACGGGUGAGUAAUGCCUAGGAAUCUGCCUAGUGGUGGGGGAUAACGUUCGGAAACGGACGCUAAUACCGCAUACGUCCUACGGGAGAAAGCGGGGGACCUUCGGGCCUCGCGCCAUUAGAUGAGCCUAGGUCGAUUAGCUA
rnacentral:rRNA from 1 species